rnacentral:rRNA from 1 species
GCGCAGCAGUCGAGAAUCCUUCGCAAUGCAGGAAACUGCGACGAGGGAACUCCAAGUGCCUACGCUCAGCGUAGGCUGUUCUCAAGCCUAGAAAGCUUGAGGAGUAAGGGCUGGGUAAGACGGGUGCCAUCUGUGGUAGCAGUCAAUAGAUUCGAUUUGUUACUGCAAGGCAUAAGCCGCCGCGGUAAUACCCGCAGCCCAAGUGGUGGCCGCUUUUAUGGGCCUAAAGCGUCCGUAGCCGGCCCGGUAAAUGCCUGGGUAAAUCGUGGAGCCCAACUUCACGAAUUCCGGGUAGACUGCCGAGCUCGGGACCGGAAGAGGGAGAGGGUACUUCGAGGGGUAGGGGUGAAAAUUUCCUUUCCAUUAACGCUUUGCGCGAAGCGGGAAAGGGUUAUC